AGAUGGGCCUGGGGUGGCAUCGCCACCCUGCGGGCACCCAGACCCUGUUCCUCUUUCCCCGUGAGGCCGAUUGUGAAGGAAGUCAUUAGCUUUGGCGAAUGUGGCCGGGUGGGCAUUCGGAGGCGUGUCUGCCUUGGGGAGACUUUUCCUUCUCCGCCAAGGCCAGCCCUAGGACGGUGACCGGAAUGGAAUGAGAAGUUGCAGGUGUUUCCGCCCCAGUUGGCGGAUCAGGAAGCCGCCUCCACGGGAGCUCAGCUAAAAGAGAGUCGAAUUCUCUGGGUCCUCCCGGCCCUCCCUGCGGACGCCGGCUUCGGGUCCAGCGGACCGUGCGGCCGGCUGGAUUGCCAUGGCAACACGAAGUGGACCCAAGCCCCCGGAGGACGGAGAGCAAAGACACAGUGGUGGCUUCUGUCGGUCUUGGACCACAAAGCGCAUCCUUGGCCUCCGUCUAGUGUUCGCAGGAAUUCACACACGUCCGCGAGGUGAAGCCAGAUGUCGGUGGUUACUCCUCUGGCCCCCCUGGCUGAGACGGGCCUCCAGGGCCUGCGAGGUGAUGGCGCUUCCGGUUUGAUGCAGACCGAGGACAGCACCUGCUGUGACCCCCCGGCCUCCGCACGCCCCCUCUGCUCGUCCUCCGGCCACUGCCUGGGGCACCGCCCUUGCUCUGGCCCGCCUGCCUGGACCCCACGUAGUGGCUCUCUGGUCUCGCCUGCCCCGGUGCUUCCUAGCAACCGAAGGGGAGCUGAGCCCGUUUCCAUCUUGACCCCUUUAUGUAAGCCAGAAGACCCCUUAGAAAGGUUUUCUGAGACUUGGAGUCUAACUUUGGCCUUGACACACCUCCUCGGGUCCAAGCUGGUCAUCUCCCUCUCAGUGCUUGAGAGCAAAGUGGACCGCCAGGCUCGCUUUAGCAAAUCAGAUUCCCGGGGGGACUCCUUCUGUUUCUCCUCCAGGACUCAGAGGGGAGAGGGUCCCUUUGUAAUGCACUUGGGACUGGCCACGCCCAUGCCUCCUUGGCCACAGAUUCCCCUCUCUGCUCCCCAGGCCCGUGGAGCUGGGCGUGGGCUGCAGUGGGGGCCGUGGGAUGUCUGGAAUGCCAGCCGCGGUGACCGACCAACGCUCAGCUCCCGGAGCUGUGACCAAGGCAGCGUUGGGGAUGGCUUUGGAGCCGAAGUCUUCACAUUUUUCCCAGUUUCGGGCGGAAGUGAAGAAUGCCCGCCUUCUCCCAGCCCCGCCAGUUAAUUCAGGAGCUUGAAUUUUUUUUGUUUGUUUGUUUUCUAAAUUAAAGGGACCACGCUCUUG